AUUGAACGCUGGCGGCAGGCCUAACACAUGCAAGUCGAACGAGUGGCGGACGGGUGAGUAAUGUCUGGGAAACUGCCUGAUGGAGGGGGAUAACUACUGGAAACGGUAGCUAAUACCGCAUACCAUCAGAUGUGCCCAGAUGGGAUUAGCUAGUUGGUGGGGUAACGGCUCACCAAGGCGACGAUCCCUAGCUGGUCUGAGAGGAUGACGAGCCACGCUGGAAAUGAGACACGGUCAAGACGCGUACGGGAGUCAGCAGUGGGGAAGAUUGCAGAGUGGGUGAAAGCCUGAUGCAGCCAUGCCGCGUGUAUGAAGAAGGCCAUCGGGUUUAAAAGUACUUAUGGCGGGGAGGGGUUACCCGCAGAAGAAGCACCGGCUAACUCCGUGCCAGCAGCCGCGGUAAUUC
rnacentral:rRNA from 1 species